CAGUCGCCACGGUAAUACGGAGGAUGCAAGCGUUAUCCGGAUUCAUUGGGCGUAAAGGGUCCUGAGGUGGCCUGCUUAGUCUACUGUGAAAGCUCAGGGCUUAACCCUGACAAUGCGGUGGAAACUAGCAGGCUAGAAUACGGUAGGGGCAGGGGGAAUUCCCGGUGUAGCGGUGAAAUGCAUAGAUAUCGGGAGGAACACCAAAGGCGAAGGCACCCUUCUGGGCCGAUAUUGACACUGACAGACGAAAGCUAGGGGAGCAAAGAGGAUUAGAUACCCGAGUAGUCCCUGUCUCUUAUAC
rnacentral:rRNA from 1 species